rnacentral:rRNA from 1 species
GACGAACGCUGGCGGCAUGCCUUACACAUGCAAGUCGAACGGCAGCAUGGAGAGCUUGCUCUCUGAUGGCGAGUGGCGAACGGGUGAGUAAUGCAUCGGAACGUACCGUGUAAUGGGGGAUAACGUAGCGAAAGUUACGCUAAUACCGCAUACGACCUGAGGGUGAAAGCAGGGGAUCGCAAGACCUUGCGUUAUACGAGCGGCCGAUGUCAGAUUAGCUAGUUGGUGAGGUAAAGGCUCACCAAGGCGACGAUCUGUAGCGGGUCUGAGAGGAUGAUCCGCCACACUGGGACUGAGACACAGCCCAGACUCCUACGGGAGGCAGCAGUGGGGAAUUUUGGACAAUGGGGGCAACCCUGAUCCAGCCAUGCCGCGUGAGUGAAGAAGGCCUUCGGGUUGUAAAGCUCUUUCGGCCGGGAAGAAAUCGCACAGGCUAAUACUCUGUGUGGAUGACGGUACCGGCAUAAGAAGCACCGGCUAACUACGUGCCAGCCGCCGCUGUAAAAC